GCUGUCAGGCAGCAGCAGCAGCAGGUGUCAUGGAGGGGCCUUGCUGGUGGACUGGUGGUAGAAAUGUUUACGUUUUGUUCUUCAUUGGACAAACAAUGUGAUGUGGACGUGUUGUGGUGCCUUGACGUGGGCGUCGCUGCCGUGAGCAGGAUGGAAGGAGCAAGGAAGGGACGUCAGCUGCUGGCUGAGGCUGCUGGACCACUUGUCACCACUCCCUUCCCUUUACUUUGACGCUCAGUUGGUGGCCCAAAGGAGGAAGAUGGAAGCAUGGACAGUUAACCAUCGUCAACUGUCGUAUAGAAGUGUGACCUGUGUGACAUUGACCUUUUGCCGCAAGACUCCCUGGCCUGCGACUUCACUGUGACCUGAGAGGAGACGGCCACUCAACGCUGAGGUCACACGGCUACCUUCCUUAUGCAGGAAAGUCAAGCCAAGACAAGCCACGCCACAACACAACACAAGC
rnacentral:lncRNA from 1 species